rnacentral:rRNA from 1 species
AACUGAAACAUCUAAGUACCCCGAGGAAAAGAAAUCAACCGAGAUUCCCCCAGUAGCGGCGAGCGAACGGGGAGGAGCCCAGAGCCUGAAUCAGUGUGUGUGUUAGUGGAAGCGUCUGGAAAGGCGCGCGAUACAGGGUGACAGCCCCGUACACAAAAAUGCACAUACUGUGAGCUCGAUGAGUAGGGCGGGACACGUGGUAUCCUGUCUGAAUAUGGGGGGACCAUCCUCCAAGGCUAAAUACUCCUGACUGACCGAUAGUGAACCAGUACCGUGAGGGAAAGGCGAAAAGAACCCCGGCGAGGGGAGUGAAAAAGAACCUGAAACCGUGUACGUACAAGCAGUGGGAGCCUCUUUAUGGGGUGACUGCGUACCUUUUGUAUAAUGGGUCAGCGACUUAUAUUCUGUAGCAAGGUUAACCGAAUAGGGGAGCCGAAGGGAAACCGAGUCUUAACUGGGCGUUAAGUUGCAGGGUAUAGACCCGAAACCCGGUGAUCUAGCCAUGGGCAGGUUGAAGGUUGGGUAACACUAACUGGAGGACCGAACCGACUAAUGUUGAAAAAUUAGCGGAUGACUUGUGGCUGGGGGUGAAAGGCCAAUCAAACCGGGAGAUAGCUGGUUCUCCCCGAAAGCUAUUUAGGUAGCGCCUCGUGAAUUCAUCUCCGGGGGUAGAGCACUGUUUCGGCAAGGGGGUCAUCCCGACUUACCAACCCGAUGCAAACUGCGAAUACCGGAGAAUGUUAUCACGGGAGACACACGGCGGGUGCUAACGUCCGUCGUGAAGAGGGAAACAACCCAGACCGCCAGCUAAGGUCCCAAAGUCAUGGUUAAGUGGGAAACGAUGUGGGAAGGCCCAGACAGCCAGGAUGUUGGCUUAGAAGCAGCCAUCAUUUAAAGAAAGCGUAAUAGCUCACUGGUCGAGUCGGCCUGCGCGGAAGAUGUAACGGGGCUAAACCAUG